rnacentral:lncRNA from 1 species
GCAUUUUAUGCAAAGCAAACUGGCAAAAAACUACUCGAUAAAUCGAUAAUGUUACAAUCCAGAGAGCCCCUUUAUGAAGGGCCUAUCGAUUCGAAUCAGUCGCUUACCGAGCUUCGUGGCAAAAAUAUCAUGCAAGUACUUUUCAUGGGCAAGGGGCAGCAAUUGUAUCAAAACAAACUACCAUAUGGAGUCCAUAUGGUGAACGUGGCUGCUGGUGUGUCCAUCUUUCGUCCUCCGCUCUUUGAGCGCGAUCUCGUCCCCUAUGGGUUGCCGACAAGGAUAAGCUCUUCGAGACCUUUCAUGUCACUAUCUUUGCCGACGUAUGCAACAUGCUCAUCAAUCAGUUGGGCUGGACAGCGCUACCAGGCCCAAAGACCACUGUCCUCACCUAUUGCGGAAACGAUGGGUAGGAGUGACUGCAGCUGCCCCUGCAAGUAACUGAGUACGAUAUGGAUCUGGAGCUGAGCAAUAACAAUUUUACUCUCCUCUCGCACUCACGAUAAAAACAUCCAUAUCCCCACC